AUUGAACGCUGGCGGCAGGCCUAACACAUGCAAGUCGAGCGGAUCGGCGGACGGGUGCGUAAUGCCUAGGAAUCUGCCUGGUAGUGGGGGAUAACGUCCGGUAACGGGAGCUAAUACCGCUUACUCUCAGAUGAGCCUAGGUGGGAUUAGCUAGUUGGUGGGGUAAAGGCAUACCAGGGCGACGUUCCGUAACUGGUCGGAGAGGAUGAUCAGUCACACGGGAACUGAGACACGGUCCAGACUCCUACGGGAGGCAGCAGUGGGGAAUAUUGGACAAUGGGCGAAAGCCUGAUCCAGCCAUGCCGCGUGUGUGAAGAAGGUCUUCGGAUUGUAAAGCACUUUAAGUUGGGAGGCGUUACCAACAGAAUAAGCACCGGCUAACUUCGUGCCAGCAGCCGCGGUAAUUC
rnacentral:rRNA from 1 species